CAGACAAAACUAAAAUUGAGGUUUCAUAUCUUGGUAAUCAUGACGUUACUGUUUUUGAGCGUGGAGUUGAUCGAAGAAUGUUGUUUAAAAAAACUUUAUCAAAGUUAUUGACCGAUAUUGAUGAAAAACCAAGGAACCACAAUAUGAAUUUUCAACACGUAUGUCAAAUGUUGGGUUUGUUCACGAGUACAAAAUUCCCAGUAGAGUACAUAACAAAGGCUGAUGUUGUACACGGUGUUUGUGUCUUACGUCACGGACUGACAGUCAAACAGUCUUUCAAAAUCUUUGAGAGCCAUAUACAUUUUGUAAACAACGGAAACGUCAAAGGGGAACGCAUAAGUACAUAUUUAAAUGAGGGAAUUGACUGGCGUUUAUAGUUUAACAUAACCUAUUCUCUCAGGCAUGGCUUAUUCUAAGGAUUUUUUUCAACUGCGCAUGUUAUUAUGGAACCGAACCUGCAUCACCCUAACCUAACUUGGCUUAAUAAGAGCGUUUGCACUAAAUAAUUUAAAUUUUAACUUCUAAUUAUAGUAUAGUUUAUGUUUCACUUGUAUCUAAUUGUGCCUACU